rnacentral:rRNA from 1 species
CGGGAUAACACCUGGAAACAGAUGCUAAUACCGGAUAACAACAGAUGAUGCCUAUCAACUGUUUAAAAGAUGGUUCUGCUAUCACUCUUGGAUGGACCUGCGGUGCAUUAGCUAGUUGAUAGGGUAACGGCCUACCAAGGCGAUGAUGCAUAGCAGAGUUGAGAGACUGAUCGGCCACAUUGGGACUGAGACACGGCCCAAACUCCUACGGGAGGCAGCAGGA